rnacentral:lncRNA from 1 species
AAAUUAUGGAUGUAUAAGAUGGACAAGUAGAACGCAACUCAGAUCCUGACUCACUUUUAGAACGAUCACCAACAAAGAGCCACUCAAUUAGCAGACUGUAAUAUGAGAGAUAAAUAAAACUUUUGGAGGUAAAUCCAUGGAUAUUCCAGGAUUUAGGUGUUGCAGAAGUGGAGUCAGGUGAAGCACUUGUUCCUGAAGUGAUGUCAAAAGAGAGUGACCAGCCGGAUAAUGUAUAAAGAAGAUAUAGUAUUUUAUAAGGCCAUUAUGGCUCUAGACACUGUCUUUCAUUUGUGCAGGUUCAAGCUCAGAGGCACCAACAAAACAUCCAUGCACAAACUUAUAAUGUAAGAUAUUGAUUUAUUAG